GACGAACGCUGGCGGCGUGCUUAACACAUGCAAGUCGAACGAUGAAGCCCAGCUUGCUGGGUGGAAGAGUGGCGAACGGGUGAGUAACACGUGAGUAACCUGCCCUGAACUCUGGGAUAAGCACUGGACACGGUGUCUAAUACUGGAUACGACCUAUCACUGCAUGGUGUGUGGGUGGAAAGAUUUAUCGGUUCUGGUUGGACUCGCGGCCUAUCAGCUAGAUGGUGAGGUAAUGGGUCACCAUGGCGACGGCGGGUAGCCGGCCUGAGAGGGUGACCGGCCACACUGGGACUGAGACACGGCCCAGACUCCUACGGGAGGCAGCAGUGGGGAAUAUUGCACAAUGGGCGCAAGCCUGAUGCAGCAACGCCGCGUGAGGGAUGACGGCCUUCGGGUUGUAAACCUCUUUUAGUAGGGAAGAAGCGAAAGUGACGGUACCUGCAGAAAAAGCACCGGCUAACUACGUG
rnacentral:rRNA from 1 species